rnacentral:rRNA from 1 species
CAAGUCGAGCGGAUGAAGGGAGCUUGCUCCUGGAUUCAGCGGCGGACGGGUGAGUAAUGCCUAGGAAUCUGCCUGGUAGUGGGGGAUAACGUCCGGAAACGGGCGCUAAUACCGCAUACGUCCUGAGGGAGAAAGUGGGGGAUCUUCGGACCUCACGCUAUCAGAUGAGCCUAGGUCGGAUUAGCUAGUUGGUGGGGUAAAGGCCUACCAAGGCGACGAUCCGUAACUGGUCUGAGAGGAUGAUCAGUCACACUGGAACUGAGACACGGUCCAGACUCCUACGGGAGGCAGCAGUGGGGAAUAUUGGACAAUGGGCGAAAGCCUGAUCCAGCCAUGCCGCGUGUGUGAAGAAGGUCUUCGGAUUGUAAAGCACUUUAAGUUGGGAGGAAGGGCGGUAAGUUAAUACCUUGCUGUUUUGACGUUACCAACAGAAUAAGCACCGGCUAACUUCGUGCCAGCAGCCGCGGUAAUACGAAGGGUGCAAGCGUUAAUCGGAAUUACUGGGCGUAAAGCGCGCGUAGGUGGUUCAGCAAGUUGGAUGUGAAAUCCCCGGGCUCAACCUGGGAACUGCAUCCAAAACUACUGAGCUAGAGUACGGUAGAGGGUGGUGGAAUUUCCUGUGUAGCGGUGAAAUGCGUAGAUAUAGGAAGGAACACCAGUGGCGAAGGCGACCACCUGGACUGAUACUGACACUGAGGUGCGAAAGCGUGGGGAGCAAACAGGAUUAGAUAUCCUGGUAGUCCACGCCGUAAACGAUGUCGACUAGCCGUUGGGAUCCUUGAGAUCUUAGUGGCGCAGCUAACGCGAUAAGUCGAC